GUGUGGGGACACCUGACGUUAAGUAGAGAUAAAUUACUCUAAAAGAAUUCCUAGAUAAUUUCCCUUCAAGGUAUGCAACUUGU
rnacentral:pre_miRNA from 1 species